UACGUAGGGUGCAAGCGUUGUCCGGAAUUAUUGGGCGUAAAGGGCUCGUAGGCGGUCCAUCGCGUCGGGAGUGAAAAGCUGGGGCUUAACCCCAGUCCUGCUUCCGAUACGGGUGGACUAGAGGUAGGUAGGGGAGAACGGAAUUCCUGGUGUAGCGGUGAAAUGCGCAGAUAUCAGGAGGAACACCGAUGGCGAAGGCAGGUCUCUGGGCAUUAACUGACGCUGAGGCACGAAAGCCAGGGGAGCGAACGGG
rnacentral:rRNA from 1 species